ACUGUAGUGUUUCCUCGUUGGGGAGGAGAGUAGAGCUGUGGGUUGUGUUUGGAGGAGGGACUUCAUCAUUUAAAGAAGUCAGAAGUUCCUGGUUAGCCAGUAAAGAAAGACAGUCAGUGGUAAACCAUCAGAGUGUCAGCAUGAAAGUCUCUCACGCUUUGACCUGCUUCUUCCUCCUCUUCUCUCUGCAGGAUGGAAACACCGGUAUCGUCAGUGCCCAACUCACUGUCUAUUCACGAACUGAAGGAGAAGAUUUCAGAGUUAGAUGUUUCUUUUCUUCUCGUGGAGCCUGGAAGUUCUUCUGUAAGGAAACAUGUCGACAAAAAGACAUUCUCAUUGAAACAAAUGGUGACUCAGCUCAGAGAGGCAGAUACAGGAUGGGUUAUGAAGAUGGAUAUUAUUUGGUGACCAUCUCUCAGCUGACCAAGUCUGACUCAGGACGGUACAGGUGUGGUAAGGGUUCAUCUUUGUCGUCAGCUUCAUACAAGUAUAUUGAAGUCAUUGUUGUUGAUGCAAAACUUGUUGGUGGUCCUCCUGCAGAGAAAACAAUCGAUGCUAGAACUGGAGGAAAUAUUCUAGUUGAAUGCUCCUUUCCUCUCUCUGGGAGAGAGAUGUACUUCUGCAAGGAAGAAUGUAGAAGAGGCAUUCUGGUUGAAAUGACUUCCAAAGAUACUGAAAAAGGCAGAUACAGGAUCAGUUAUGUUAAACGAUCUCAAAAUGAAGGAUUUGUUUAUGUGAGCAUCAAACAACUGACCCAGUCUGACUCAGGACGGUACAGGUGUGGUCUGGACAGAACUUCCUCUGAACAUCUCUACCAGAGGUUUAGACUCACCGUCACUGAUGCUCUGACCUCUUCUACUCCUUCAUCAUCCGUCCCCUCAGCAUCCUCACCAACAACAAACCAAAGUGAAAGCUCCCUGACUACAGCAGCCUCCUCUAACACCACCGAGCAGCCUGAAACAGCUCCAGGUGUGGUCCUGUAUGUGCGUCUGACUCUGACCGCCCUGUUCAUCGUGUCGUCACUCUCUGUGCUGGUAUUCUGCAGGAAGAGGAUCUGUAAAGCCAAAGGUGAGGAACCAGGUAACACACAUUCCUUUCUCACUAGGUUUGAACUGCCUGAUCUUUCUCCACAUGUACAACAACCUUUCAAACAGACUCACCAUUCAAAGUUUAAAUACUCGCAAAUAACAGAACAGAACUUCCUGAACACGACAAACAACGACAUACAGGAAUCUGACAAAGACUAAACAGAAUACCAGGACUUAAAUACAAGCAGAACUAAUGAGGGGACAAAGUGCAGGUUUUCAGGAGGACAGGAGGCAGAAACAGGCAUGACACGGGUAGAAAACUUUUCCAAAUAAAACAGGAAACAGAUAAACAACACUGGGAUGAUGAGGGUUGAUGAAGGUCUUCAGAAUCUGUUUUUGUCUCCAUUUGACUGAGCAAGAUGUUGCUCCAGUGUAGUGUCAUGAUCUAAACGUACUGCUGUGUCUUUCAGAACCUCCUGUGGAAACACAAUAUGGUUUUGUCACAGAGACCAACCGAGUGCACAAGGAUAUCGGCGAGGCCAGCCAGAGCAGAUCUGCUCCUGUGGAAAUCUCCUCAGUUUACACUCACCCCAAAUAUACACGACCAAAUGGAGAUGAAACCGAUGAUAACUAAAGCAUUAUAACUGCUUCUAAUUCAUAAAAUACAUGAAGGGGUAUUUAACUCUGGGCUCAUAAAACAGUAGCUUUAAAAAGCUGAGAUAAAUCACAAACUUUAUCCCCGGUCCCAGACCCACACAAGAAUGCUAGUGGGGGAACGUGUUCUACAUCUGUUGCUUUUUGAUCCAUAAUAACUUUCGUUAAAUGUCAUUGACUCGGAUAUCAGAUAAGUGUAAAUGUGACAAAUGGCCCAACCAAAGAAAAAGGAAUGAAGUUGUUUUUGGUUGUUGUCAAUUCAGACACAACA